GACGAACGCUGGCGGCGUGCUUAACACAUGCAAGUCGAACGGAAAGGCCCUGCUUGCAGGGUACUCGAGUGGCGAACGGGUGAGUAACACGUGGGUUAUCUGCCCUGCACUUCGGGAUAAGCCUGGGAAACUGGGUCUAAUACCGGAUAGGAGCCAUUUUUAGUGUGAUGGUUGGAAAGUUUUUUCGGUGUAGGAUGAGCUCGCGGCCUAUCAGCUUGUUGGUGGGGUAAUGGCCUACCAAGGCGGCGACGGGUAGCCGGCCUGAGAGGGUGGACAGCCACAUUGGGACUGAGAUACGGCCCAGACUCCUACGGGAGGCAGCAGUGGGGAAUAUUGCACAAUGGGCGCAAGCCUGAUGCAGCGACGCCGCGUGGGGGAGGACGGCCUUCGGGUUGUAAACUCCUUUCGCUAGGGACGAAGCUUUUUGUGACGGUACCUAGAUAAGAAGCACCGGCUAACUACGUG
rnacentral:rRNA from 1 species